CAAACCAAAGCUGGCGACCGGCGCACGGGUGAGUACACGUAUCCAACCUGCCUCAUACUCGGGGAUAGCCUUUCGAAAGAAAGAUUAAUAUCCGAUAGCAUAUAUUUCCCGCAUGGGUUUUAUAUUAAAGAAAUUCGGUAUGAGAUGGGGAUGCGUUCCAUUAGUUUGUUGGGGGGUAACGGCCCACCAAGACUACGAUGGAUAGGGGUUCUGAGAGGAAGGUCCCCCACAUUGGAACUGAGACACGGUCCAA
rnacentral:rRNA from 1 species